CGCACAUUGCGCCCGGUGGAAUUCCACCGGGCAUGCCUGUUCGAGCGUCAUUUCAACCCUCAAGCCUAGCUUGGUGUUGGGGCACUCCUCUCCCUCGCGGGAGGAGGCCCUGAAAUUCAGUGGCGGGCUCGCUAAGACUCUGAGCGUAGUAAUAUAUCUCUCGCUUUGGUAGGAUUAGUGAUGUUCUGGCCGUAAAACCCCCAAAACUUCUGAAUUUUGACCUCGGAUCAGGUAGGAAUACCCGCUGAACUUAA
rnacentral:misc_RNA from 1 species